CUUUUACUCUGUUUCAAACAAAUCAGCACAAUUUAUUCUCACAAGAAAAACGCAGAUGGAGGACCUUAUUCACCAAAUUCCCUCUUUCAAGAACAGAACUUGAAUUUACAAAGUUUUUGUUGCUGCAUACUUUCACACCACAAGAAGUUUGGUUUUAAAGGACUCUCCCUCAACAAAUCAUUAUCACAAGGCUUUGUGACCAGGGGGAUUAGCGCUGCUUUCCCAAGACAGGUUUAUAUGUGAUUAUGAUCUUCAGGCUUUGCCUAACCAGGUGGGCUUACUUUCCAAAUGUACAAAGUAUGAUUGAGUUAUUAAGCUCUAAAUGUUUCAAUGAAAUGCAAAUUGUUUAUUUAAUGUAAUGAAAACUGUUUAUCCAAUAAAAUAUUUUGUGCACUCUGCUCUGUUUAAGGCUCGCAUAAGUUAAUCGAUCGAGGUUCUCUUAUGACCUAACACGUUGUUUGAGAAUUGUGUACACCUAUUAGCUGACUCGGUGGGUUGAUCUCCAUUCGGGCACUAAUCAUGUAUGAGGCGUUAUAAGGGUGCUCGACGGGAUGUGUUCCGGAGCAUUGGGUCCCAAAUGGGAACUUGACUGGGUUACGCCCUCAGUUCAAGUAAAGCGGGAGAUAUGGAUCCGUCGGUGGCUAAAAGGUCCGGGAUCACAGCGAGUAACGGAAAGGGAGUGUGACAUGUGCGCACAAAUGAAAAAUGUUUUAACAUGCUUAGAAGUUAUUUCAUUUUAAAACCUUCUAAGUCAUGUCAAGUAUAAUUGGAUAAACUGCUCUUUACGAAAAUAUAAAAUGUUUCAGAAAAUGCAUGCCCACUAAGUACAUUAGUACUUAGCCCAAAAAUACUUUCAAAUGUUUUCAGGUUGGCUGGCCGGUGCUGACGGGACGGAGCUGAGGCUAGCGAUAAAUUCCUAUGUUAGACUUCCGCUGUAGCAAUUACUCAUAUCAGUCUUUUGUUUUCCCAACUUAAGAUCUUCAUGUUAAAUUUCAAAUGAUAUACCUGACAGAGCUUAGACUCUUCACUACUAAAUUUAUGCUAAUGAAUGUCGGUUGUCAGAA